GAUGAACGCUGGCGGCGUGCCUAAUACAUGCAAGUCGAGCGAACAGAUGAGGAGCUUGCUCCUCUGACGUUAGCGGCGGACGGGUGAGUAACACGUGGAUAACCUACCUAUAAGACUGGGAUAACUUCGGGAAACCGGAGCUAAUACAGGAUAAUAUAUUGAACCGCAGGGUUCAAUAGUGAAAGACGGUUUUGCUGUCACUUAUAGAUGGAUCCGCGCCGCAUUAGCUAGUUGGUAAGGUAACGGCUUACCAAGGCAACGAUGCGUAGCCGACCUGAGAGGGUGAUCGGCCACACUGGAACUGAGACACGGUCCAGACUCCUACGGGAGGCAGCAGUAGGGAAUCUUCCGCAAAGGGCGAAAGCCUGACGGAGCAACGCCGCGUGAGUGAUGAAGGCCUUCGGAUCGUAAAGCUCUGUUAUUAGGGAAGAACAAAUGUGUAAGUAACUAUGCACGUCUUGACGGUACCUGAUCAGAAAGCCCCGGCUAACUACGUG
rnacentral:rRNA from 1 species